GCUUCCGUAGCGCAGUUGGUAGCGCAACGCAUUCGUAAUGCGUAGGUCGGGGGUUCGAGUCCCCCCGGGAGCU
rnacentral:tRNA from 1 species